ACCUGGUCUUUUCAAGAUAAAUGUUUAUACUUCAAACUAAAUAUUGUAAAACAACUCUAAUGAUAAAUUUUACGAGUUUGACGGAGAAAUCAAAAGCGUAACACCAGCUUGUUUUACAAAGAAAAUAUAUGGCUCAAAGACAAAGUAAAUCGAACAUGCUCUUUUACCUUUUUGAAUACGAACUGUUUUUGGUAAAGUGACCAAAAUUUUCGCUUGAGUAUGGAAAAUGAUUUUAUCGCGACGUUUAGAUGCUAAGAGAAGUCCAUUCGUUGUAAUGCGAGAUCAGUUGGGAAGAAAUUGUCGUUGACAACAAAUUCCAUUGCUUGAAGCAAAGUAAUUUCCUCAAAGUGCCUUAACAUUUUACAAUGCAUUGACAGCAUACUCCAUUAAACUCAGAAAGGAUAUUUUUAAACAUCGAAACAUUACGAUUAAAUCAUUGGUUCCAUACUCAAUUGAACAUAUAUAAGAACAUUUGUCAUUUCUUUCAAGUGCCAAAUUAUGAAAUAUUUAAAUUAAGAAUUAGACAUUAUCCCGUUCAUUUGGAGCCAUAUAUCUUAUAUAUCGAGCGUCGUUUUUAACCUGACAACUUUGAAUUGAUUAUAUAAUGUCAAUACUAAUUGAAAUGAUGAAAAUGCGAAUGAUGAAAGUUGAACAAAAUUUUAAAAGAAUGUUAUUUAGGGGCGGACCAUUAGAAAUCCUGGG